UGUAUUACAAGUGUAAUAUCAUUGCAAGAACAUUAGCAAUAAUUAACAUGCACUCUCAGAAAGGACUGAAACAUGCACAUAUUACUUUUUAUCCCGAGUCACUGUUGAGCAUGAAAACACAGUAACUGGAAAUUGAGCUCUGUAGAACUACUGGUAACAUCCUUCACCAUAUCGAUCACUCACUACUUUUAUUGAUCCAGAUGAAAAAAAAGAAAAAUCUUCAUUUUUUUCUUCUGUCAUUCUCCCAGUGUAACCAAAUGUAAGUGUCACAAAUCUACCCAAAAUGCUCAAACUACUGAGAUGGAGAUACAAACCAGCAUUUCAUAUGAAGACAACAGAGUUAACAACAAACCCUCCGGAGAACGAAGCUCUGUUGGAAUAGAAACUUCUACCCUAAAAGACAGAGAUGGGGUCUGCACGUGAGGCACAGCUGAUGUAUGACACACAGUGAUGAGCAGAUGUACACAGUGACAUUCAGGCUACACAGUGGAGUGAGACCAGAAAAACAUCCCCAUAAGUAAUGGAUAAAAGAAAAAAAGAGGGUUUUUUCCUUCCUAGUAAUAACUAUUGAGAACUUCUAUACAGGCACUUUAGAACCUGUCAGAAACAACUACAGUUCCUGUCUUGCACAGACAAAGCACUUCACUUGGAGCAACGUUCGUGAGCACCAUGUCUGAUAUCAAGUCCUGGUGGAUAAUGGGAGGUAGAAAAGCAGCCAAAAAGGAUGAGACACACUAAAUAACCCCUUUUCACAAAACAGACAAGGGAGAAAUUACCCAAGCCUCUAACCAAAGACACUUUCAGGAUUACGUGCUUUGUCACCUGUAUCAUUGUUUCUCUCACUCCCCUCCAGACUUGCCCUGUUCCUUCAGCAAAGUUCUUUGUGUUGAAAAUAAAGCAGCCUCAUUUUUGUAGUGGUAUGCAUUUCAUUGAAACCUCAGAACUUUUACUCCACCCCACAUAAAGAGAGGCAUGCCUGAAGUGACAUAUACAUGCUUUUAAGUCUUGAUUUAAUUUAUGCAUCUCCUGAACUCUGCUGACUGUUUCUAAACACUUUACUAACAAGGUAAAAACAAUGUCUUAUCACCACUGAGAAAUCUCUCAUUUCACCUGAAAAUCCAAUCAGCUGCAAAUCAUUGACAGAAUUUUGCUGUCUGCUAAGAUGAAAGGAAAUGUGACCCCCACCAAACCAGAGGAAAACAUCUUCAUUAUCCAGCAAGUUAAAGAAGAAGAUGGUAAAGCACAGGGUAAAGUAUAUGCUGAACAAACCAGGGGUUUGACCCCAGCCUAUAACACAUAGACUCUUGAGACACACCUCUUCUCAGUUUUCAGCUUUGCUAAGGAAAAUUAAAGGCUUUCCCUUACUCUUUGCAUCCAACCUCACUUAAUCUGAUAUUUAAGACUUCUAGUUCACCCUUCUCAUCUACAGA
rnacentral:lncRNA from 1 species